UACAGAGGGUGCAAGCGUUAUUCGGAAUUACUGGGCGUAAAGCGUGCGUAGACGGUUAUGUAAGUCAGGUGUGAAAGCCCCGGGCUCAACCUGGGAAUUGCAUUUGAGACUGCAUAGCUAGGGUGCGGAAGAGGGAAGCGGAAUUUCCGGUGUAGCGGUGAAAUGCGUAGAUAUCGGAAGGAACACCAGUGGCGAAAGCGGCUUCCUGGUCCAGCACCGACGUUCAGGCACGAAAGCGUGGGGAGCAAACAGG
rnacentral:rRNA from 1 species